rnacentral:tRNA from 1 species
GGCAGAGUAGCUCAGCCGGUGAGAGCGUAGGAUUCAUAACCCUAAGGUCGGGGGUUCGAUUCCCCCCUCUGUCA